rnacentral:rRNA from 1 species
GAUGAACGCUGGCGGCGUGCCUAAUACAUGCAAGUCGAGCGAACGGACGAGAAGCUUGCUUCUCUGAUGUUAGCGGCGGACGGGUGAGUAACACGUGGAUAACCUACCUAUAAGACUGGGAUAACUUCGGGAAACCGGAGCUAAUACCGGAUAAUAUUUUGAACCGCAUGGUUCAAAAGUGAAAGACGGUCUUGCUGUCACUUAUAGAUGGAUCCGCGCUGCAUUAGCUAGUUGGUAAGGUAACGGCUUACCAAGGCAACGAUGCAUAGCCGACCUGAGAGGGUGAUCGGCCACACUGGAACUGAGACACGGUCCAGACUCCUACGGGAGGCAGCAGUAGGGAAUCUUCCGCAAUGGGCGAAAGCCUGACGGAGCAACGCCGCGUGAGUGAUGGAGGUCUUCGGAUCGUAAAACUCUGUUAUUAGGGAAGAACAUAUGUGUAAGUAACUGUGCACAUCUUGACGGUACCUAAUCAGAAAGCCACGGCUAACUACGUGCCAGCAGCCGCGGUAAUACGUAGGUGGCAAGCGUUAUCCGGAAUUAUUGGGCGUAAAGCGCGCGUAGGCGGUUUUUUAAGUCUGAUGUGAAAGCCCACGGCUCAACCGUGGAGGGUCAUUGGAAACUGGAAAACUUGAGUGCAGAAGAGGAAAGUGGAAUUCCAUGUGUAGCGGUGAAAUGCGCAGAGAUAUGGAGGAACACCAGUGGCGAAGGCGACUUUCUGGUCUGUAACUGACGCUGAUGUGCGAAAGCGUGGGGAUCAAACAGGAUUAGAUACCCUGGUAGUCCACGCCGUAAACGAUGAGUGCUAAGUGUUAGGGGGUUUCCGCCCCUUAGUGCUGCAGCUAACGCAUUAAGCACUCCGCCUGGGGAGUACGACCGCAAGGUUGAAACUCAAAGGGAUUGACGGGGACCCGCACAAGCGGUGGAGCGUGUGGUUUAAUUCGAAGCAACGCGAAGAACCUUACCAAAUCUUGACAUCCUUUGACAACUCUAGAGGUAGAGCUUUCCCCUUCGGGGGACAAAGUGACAGGUGGUGCAUGGUUGUCGUCAGCUCGUGUCGUGAGAUGUUGGGUUAAGUCCCGCAACGAGCGCAACCCUUAAGCUUAGUUGCCAUCAUUAAGUUGGGCACUCUAAGUUGACUGCCGGUGACAAACCGGAGGAAGGUGGGGAUGACGUCAAAUCAUCAUGCCCCUUAUGAUUUGGGCUACACACGUGCUACAAUGGACAAUACAAAGGGCAGCGAAACCGCGAGGUCAAGCAAAUCCCAUAAAGUUGUUCUCAGUUCGGAUUGUAGUCUGCAACUCGACUACAUGAAGCUGGAAUCGCUAGUAAUCGUAGAUCAGCAUGCUACGGUGAAUACGUUCCCGGGUCU